rnacentral:rRNA from 1 species
CCUACGGGAGGCAGCAGUGAGGAAUAUUGGUCAAUGGACGAGAGUCUGAACCAGCGAAGUAGCGUGAAGGAUGACUGCCCUAUGGGUUGUAAACUUCUUUUAUAAAGGAAUAAAACGAGGCACGUGUGCCUUUUUGCAUGUACUUUAUGAAUAAGGAUCGGCUAACUCCGUGCCAGCAGCCGCGGUAAUACGGAGGAUCCGAGCGUUAUCCGGAUUUAUUGGGUUUAAAGGGAGCGUAGAUGGGUUGUUAAGUCAGUUGUGAAAGUUUGCGGCUCAACCGUAAAAUUGCAAUUGAUACUGGCAGUCUAGAGUACAGUUGAGGUAGGCGGAAUUCGUGGUGUAGCGGUGAAAUGCUUAGAUAUCACGAAGAACCCCGAUUGCGAAGGCAGCUUACUAAACUGUGACUGACAUUGAUGCUCGAAAGUGUGGGUAUCAAACAGGAUUAGAUACCCGGGUAGUC